AAAAAAAAAAGAAUUAAAAUAAUCUAACUUGGUCACCAAGUUAGUAAAUUAAUAUAAUUAAAAAUUCUAAGAUUUUUCCUCCAAAUCACCCUCCCUCUAUAUUAUCCCCUUCCCAAAACCGUUCCUUCCUAUUUCUGCAACAAGAAAACCACAGCUAUUCUGCUCAACUUCAAUUCAGGAAAUCGAAGUCCUUUCAGCUUCAAGAACCUUCCUUUUCAGCCUUGUGAACUCCACAACUAAGUCCUACGGAGGCUAUCUUCGUGAGUUAAGGGUGGAGUCAGGAAAAUUCAAGUUAAAGAAACUAAACGAACAAGGUUGAGCAGCGAAGUGGUGGAGGAAGUGCUAUUGAGACAAGACAUUUAAUUCAGUCAGAUUUUGACUCUCGGAGGUUCAUGUCUUCAUACAUGGAACCGCGUUCAUUUGCUUCCGUUGUGCAUCUUAAAAGGCUCAAAUCUAUUUUGUUUAAAACUCUGAUUUUAUUUCGAGCUUUUCCCAUUUGUUUGGAGCUA